GAAGUGAAUGUUGUUUGAUGUGCUUCUAUUUAGUGGUUGUUUCCCCCACAGAAUUCCACAUCAUUCUUGGAUAAAAUCCCCAGUAGAGUUCUUCUCUGAUCGAUCUUAUCCAUAUCUCUGCGUACUGUUGGAAGAUCCCUAGUUUUGGUGGUUGUGAUUUGUUGCUUAUCCCCAACAGCAGUCUCUAAUCUCCGGUGAUCCUGCUUGUUCCUCUAGCAGUGAUCUUUGUCCCCGACAAUGACUCUCUUUGAUCCUCAGUGGUGAUUGGUUUUCUAGUAUUUG
rnacentral:lncRNA from 1 species